rnacentral:lncRNA from 1 species
UAUGGCUGGAGGGAAUGGAGCGGAAUUAGGCUGUGGCCCAAGGAUGACGGUGCCAGGCAACAAGCAAUUGCUGCUCUUGAGUGACAUCAUCCUUGACCCUCCAAGAGGCAGAAAACGGUGUUCAGUAUGACCAACAUUCUCCUACAUUUCAAUGGAGGGUGACUGGAUUUCAUCUGCUGCACCCAAGUGUUCACUUCUUCUAUUUUUAGCAAGCUUGAAAAUAAUUUAAAUUAAUAGUAUUAUUUUUAUCACAAUGGCUCCCCUUCUCUGUUAAGAUCCUCAAACAAUU